rnacentral:rRNA from 1 species
GAUGAACGCUGGCGGCGUGCCUAAUACAUGCAAGUCGAGCGAACAGACGAGGAGCUUGCUCCUCUGACGUUAGCGGCGGACGGGUGAGUAACACGUGGAUAACCUACCUAUAAGACUGGGAUAACUUCGGGAAACCGGAGCUCAUACCGGAUAAUAUAUUGAACCGCAUGGUUCAAUAGUGAAAGACGGUUUUGCUGUCACUUAUAGAUGGAUCCGCGCCGCAUUAGCUAGUUGGUAAGGUAACGGCUUACCAAGGCAACGAUGCGUAGCCGACCUGAGAGGGUGAUCGACCAGACUGGAACUCACACACGGUCCAGACUCCUACCGGAGGCAGCAGUAGGGAAUCUUCCGCAAUGGGCGAAAGCCUGACGGAGCAACGCCGCGUGAGUGAUGAACGUCUUCGGAUCGUAUAACUCUUUUAUUAGGGAAGAACAAAUGUGUAAGUAACUAUGUACUUCUUGACGUUACCUAAUCAGAAAUCCACGUCUAACUACGUG